rnacentral:rRNA from 1 species
GGCCUACCAUGGUGGUAACGGGUAACGGGGUGUUAGGGCACGACACCGGAGAGGGAGCCUGAGAAACGGCUACCACAUCCAAGGAUGGCAGCAGGCGCGCAAAUUACCCAAUCCCGACACGGGGAGGUAGUGACAAUAAAUAACAAUACGGGGUUCUUUCGGAUCUCGUAAUUGGAAUGAGUACAAUUUAAAUCUCUUAACGAGGAACAAUUGGAGGGCAAGUCUGGUGCCAGCAGCCGCGGUAAUUCCAGCUCCAAUAGCGUAUAUUAAAGUUGCUGCAGUUAAAAAGCUCGUAGUUGAAUUUCGGGACCAAUAUGUCGGUCGUGCUUCGGUACGUACUGUCAUAAUUGGUUUCUCCCUUCUGAAGAACCUUGAUGUCAUUAAUUUGGUGUCUUGGGGAAUCGGGACUGUUACUUUGAAAAAAUUAGAGUGUUUAAAGCAGGCUCGCGCUUGAAUACAUUAGCAUGGAAUAAUGAAAUAGGACGUUUGAUUCUAUUUUGUUGGUUUCUAGGAUCGACGUAAUGAUUAAUAGGGAUAGUUGGGGGCAUUAGUAUUCAAUUGUCAGAGGUGAAAUUCUUGGAUUUAUUGAAGACUAACUACUGCGAAAGCAUUUGCCAAGGACGUUUUCAUUAAUCAAGAACGAAAGUUAGGGGAUCGAAGACAAUCAGAUACCGUCGUAGUCUUAACCAUAAACUAUGCCGACUAGGGAUCGGAUGAUGUUAAUUUUUUAAUGACUCAUUCGGCGCCUUACG